rnacentral:rRNA from 1 species
UACAGAGGGGGCAAGCGUUGUUCGGAAUUACUGGGCGUAAAGGGCGCGUAGGCGGCCUGUUAAGUCGAACGUGAAAUCCCCGGGCUCAACCCGGGAACUGCGUCCGAUACUGGCAGGCUUGAAUCCGGGAGAGGGAUGCGGAAUUCCAGGUGUAGCGGUGAAAUGCGUAGAUAUCUGGAGGAACACCGGUGGCGAAGGCGGCAUCCUGGACCGGUAUUGACACUGAGGCGCGAAAGCCAGGGGAGCAAACGGG